UCGGGAAAGUCCAGUGAUGGAGACAUAACACACUGGGUGCUAUUUCCUGGUAAGAAAAAGAAGGUGAAAAUUUGAAGUAUGCUGGUGUCGCUAGUUCCAAGCCCACAAAGAGAGAUUUCUUAAGAAAACUAAGUGUGUGGUCACGAGAUGGAAUUUUAAGAACCCUAGUGGAAAUGUAUAAGGCAUUUUGAAUAUGAUGUAGAGCUUUUGAAAAAAAUAAUUAUUGGGGCCCAAAAGAGGAGCUUUAAUGAAGUAAGCUGAUGAUAGUGAAAGAAUUAAAAAAAAAAAUCACGAAAUCACUCUUCCUUGUCUGCUUUAUUUCUUAAAAGGGAAUUCUGAACCCUUCCUCCUCCUCAAAGAGAAACUGUAUCUCUGGUGAGAAAGAUUCCUAAUAUCUGUACAAUUUCAUUUUCCCAUUUCAGAGCCCAAGCUGCCCACGGGCCUGUGAAGAGUCCUCCACUGUUGCAGAGAGAAUUUCUAAGAUGAAAGAAGAUUUUUUUUUUCAUGAUGAAGUCUCCAACAAUAAAAACUGGAGACUCGCCUGCUUCAUGAAGCCUGUGAAUUCUUUCUGAGCUAUCUUUGAGAACUCAUCCGAGGGAUCAAAAGCAUUUGAUAUUCUUCCAAAUGCUAAAAAUCAGAGGAGGAAGCAUGAGCCGAAGUAAGUCAAAUUUGGAAUGACCUGAGUUUGCAACUGCUUUGUCUCCAGCCCUCAUUUCUAGAAGUUGCUGGGACAGGUGUAUGUGAAUUCUUUGGCUAGAGAGAGAGAGCACAAGUAGGCAGAGCAGCAGGCAGAGAG